rnacentral:rRNA from 1 species
GAUGUUGGGUUAAGUCCCGUAACGAGCGCAACCCUUGUCCUUAGUUACCAGCACGUUAUGGUGGGCACUCUAAGGAGACUGCCGGUGACAAACCGGAGGAAGGUGGGGAUGACGUCAAGUCAUCAUGGCCCUUACGGCCUGGGCUACACACGUGCUACAAUGGUCGGUACAAAGGGUUGCCAAGCCGCGAGGUGGAGCUAAUCCCAUAAAACCGAUCGUAGUCCGGAUCGCAGUCUGCAACUCGACUGCGUGAAGUCGGAAUCGCUAGUAAUCGUGAAUCAGAAUGUCACGGUGAAUACGUUCCCGGGCCUU